rnacentral:rRNA from 1 species
CACCCCGUAAACGUUGGGAACUAGUUGUGGGGACCAUUCCACGGUUUCCGUGACGCAGCUAACGCAUUAAGUUCCCCGCCUGGGGAGUACGGCCGCAAGGCUAAAACUCAAAGGAAUUGA